rnacentral:rRNA from 1 species
AGAGUUUGAUUCUGGCUCAGGACGAACGCUGGCGGCGUGCUUAACACAUGCAAGUUGAACGGGCGGAUAUGGAAGCUUGCUGAAGUAUCUGUUAGUAGCGGACGGGUGAGUAAUGCAUGAGAAGCUGCCAUCGGGAGGGGGACAACAGUUGGAAACGGCUGCUAAUACCCCGUAUGCCGGAAGGUGAAAGGGAGCGAUCCGCCCGAUGAGGUGCUCAUGUCCUAUCAGCUGGUUGGUGGGGUAACGGCCUACCAAGGCGACGACGGGUAGCCGGCCUGAGAGGGUGAACGGCCACACUGGAACUGAGAUACGGUCCAGACUCCUACGGGAGGCAGCAGUGGGGAAUAUUGGGCAAUGGGGGAAACCCUGACCCAGCGACGCCGCGUGAGGGAAGACGGCCUUCGGGUUGUAAACCUCUUUUGUACGGGAAGAAGGACGUGACGGUACUGUACGAAUAAGUCCCGGCUAACUACGUGCCAGCAGCCGCGGUAAUACGUAGGGGACGAGCGUUGUCCGGAAUUACUGGGCGUAAAGGGCGCGCAGGCUGUGCUGCAAGUCGGCUGUUAAAGGCUGGGGCUUAACCCUGGUAUGCGGUUGAGACUGCAGUACUGGAGUGCUGUAGAGGCAAGUGGAAUUCCCGGUGUAGCGGUGAAAUGCGUAGAUAUUGGGAAGAACACCGGUGGCGAAGGCGACUUGCUGGGCAGCAACUGACGCUGAGGCGCGAAAGCCAGGGGAGCGAACGGGAUUAGAUACCCUGGUAGUC